rnacentral:rRNA from 1 species
GGUUAAGCGACUAAGCGUACACGGUGGAUGCCCUGGCAGUCAGAGGCGAUGAAGGACGUGCUAAUCUGCGAAAAGCGUCGGUAAGGUGAUAUGAACCGUUAUAACCGGCGAUGUCCGAAUGGGGAAACCCAGUGUGAUUCGUCACACUAUCGUUAACUGAAUACAUAGGUUAACGAGGCGAACCGGGGGAACUGAAACAUCUAAGUACCCCGAGGAAAAGAAAUCAACCGAGAUUCCCCCAGUAGCGGCGAGCGAACGGGGAGCAGCCCAGAGUCUGAAUCAGCUUGUGUGUUAGUGGAACGGUCUGGAAAGUCCGACGGUACAGGGUGAUAGUCCCGUACACCAAAAUGCACAGGCUGUGAACUCGAAGAGUAGGGCGGGACACGUGGUAUCCUGUCU